CCCUUAGAUGUUCUGGGCCGCACGCGCGUUACAAUGAAUCGUUCAACAGGUUUCUUCCUGAGUCGAAAGGCUUGGGUAAUCCUUUAAAUACGGUUCGUGCUAGGGAUAGAUUUUUGCAAUUAUUAAUCUUGAACGAGGAAUAUUUAGUAAACGCAGGUCAUCAGCCUGCAUUGAUUACGUCCCUGCCCUUUGUACACACCGCCCGUCGUACCAACCGAUUGGAUGUUUUGUUGAAAUAUGUGGAUGCUUGUUGGGUGAAUUCAUUUUUGCUUGAUAGACAGAAACGUAUUAAAACUGAAUAUCUAGAGGAUGGUGAAGUCGUAACA
rnacentral:rRNA from 1 species